GCAAAAGAGUAUCCUUUGAUUGUGAUCUCUUCUGCCUGGUCUCCGGGAAAUCUCUCAUGCAUCCUGUGUUUUGUGUACCCUGCUCAGGUGGAGUUUGCCUGCCAGGCUUGGAAUGUUCUAAGAAAGGCUUCCUGUUUCCCCAACGUGGAGAUUGAUGAUAUACCAUAUCAUUUUGGACCCGAGAGCUCUUGAACACAGACCCUGUGGAGUUUGCCUGCCAGGCUUGGAAUGUUCUAAGAAAGGCUUCCUGUUGUCCCCAACGUGGAGAUUGAUGAUAUACCAUGUCAUUAUGGACCCGAGAGCUCUUGAACACAGACCCUUCCAGUGGAGUUUGCCUGCCAGGCUUGGAAUGUUCUAAGAAAGGCUUCCUGUUUCCCCAACGUGGAGAUUGAUGAUAUACCAUGUCAUUUUGGACCUGAGAGCUCUUGAACACAGACCCUGU